UGAUGGAAUUUUCUGGAAUGGUUGUACUGCUUUGGUGAAAGUAUACUUGAACCCAUUUCCGUCUGACAACUGAGAAAAAAAAAU